AAUUACAUCUUUGUCACGAAAUAAGGCAUUUAAAGGUGUCCCCCAGCCCAGCGGGUAACGGAUUGAGGUCAUGAGGCUCAGUCACAAAUGCCCACGGGAGCUGGAUUUUCAGUAUCCAGGAGGUGUGCCAACCUGUUGAAUUUCUACCCCGUGAGCCUGGGAAUCUGCUAGCAGUAUCCCCAAAGUCCCCUCUCACCCAUUUCUAGUCUCGCACCCCUGAUUCCCCUUUGCGGUGAAAAAGGGAAAAUCAUAGUCUCGUGUAUAUGAAUUAAAUCUUACAUAGCAGUAUCUCUGUCUUGCAGUGAUCACCUGAUCUUCCAGAAAAUGUAAAGGUUUCAACGUCUUGCUUCAAUAAAUCAUCUGCCCUGCA